AAUCAACGCUGGCGGCGUGCCUCAGACAUGCAAGUCGAACGCGAAAGGUUCCUUCGGGAGCCGAGUAGAGUGGCGCUCGGGUGAGUAACACGUAGGUAAUUUGCCUUUGGGUGGGGAAUAACAAUCGGAAACGGUUGCUAAUACCGCAUAAUGCAGCGGCUCGACAUCGAGACAGUUGUUAAAGCGGGGGAUCCUUCGGGACCUCGCGCCUAAAGAGAAGCCUGCGGCGGAUUAGCUAGUUGGUGAGGUAAUGGCUCACCAAGGCGACGAUCCGUAACCGGCCUGAGAGGGCGGACGGUCACACUGACACUUAAAUACGGGUCAGACUCCUACGGGAGGCAGCAGUCGGGAAUUUUGGGCAAUGGGCGAAAGCCUGACCCAGCAACGCCGCGUGAAGGAUGAAAUCCCUCGGGAUGUAAACUUCGCAAGAACGGGAAGAAUAAGCGAGAGUAAAUACCUCUCGUGAU
rnacentral:rRNA from 1 species